AGUGAACGCUGGCGGUAGGCCUAACACAUGCAAGUCGAACGGCAGCACAGUAAGAGCUUGCUCUUACGGGUGGCGAGUGGCGGACGGGUGAGGAAUACAUCGGAAUCUACUUUUUCGUGGGGGAUAAUGUAGGGAAACUUACGCUAAUACCGCAUACGACCUACGGGUGAAAGCAGGGGAUCUUCGGACCUUGCGCGAUUGAAUGAGCCGAUGUCGGAUUAGCUAGUUGGCGGGGUAAAGGCCCACCAAGGCGACGAUCCGUAGCUGGUCUGAGAGGAUGAUCAGCCACACUGGAACUGAGACACGGUCCAGACUCCUACGGGAGGCGGCAGUGGGGAAUAUUGGACAAUGGGCGCAAGCCUGAUCCAGCCAUACCGCGUGGGUGAAGAAGGCCUUCGGGUUGUAGAGCCCUUUUGUUGGGAAAGAAAAGCAGCAGGUUAAUACCCCGCUGUUCUGACGGUACCCAAAGAAUAAGCACCGGCUAACUUCGUG
rnacentral:rRNA from 1 species